UUGUUUUUUUCUUAAUAUGUGACAUUGCCUGUGUGACUGUAAGGUAGUGUUUUAGGUGUUGUUACUUCUAUUUUUGUUAAUAUCACAGGUAACUGUUUAAAUGACUUACAUAUUUUUUCUCAAGCUCUAGCUCACCAUGCAGGACAAAGGUAAGUCCGUACUUAAUGUCAACACAAAUAAGUAGAAAAGGUUUAAAAAUGAUGUCGUGAACUGACUGUAGUCUCUUGUUUUUACAUAAGGUAUAGCCUGUGGCUCAGGGAUCAGAGGUGCUUUACACUUGUCCUCUCCCAGCAUUCAGCACUUCAGACACUCAACGUCCAGGACGGAGCUAACACAGAGAGAUACUCCACCCAGAAGACAGCCUUACCCCAACCCGAUGAGAAGGAUGGAUGACCAAAUGACAAACUGGAGAGUGGUGCUGUGUUGCAGCUAUGGCAGCUGAGAGUGGACAGAGCUGCACAGAGGACCAAAGAUCCACUCUCAGCACUUCAUACCUGACUGGCCACAGCACCACCCCUCUUCACCCAGGGUGAGGAGGGUCCUGACCCCGCCUGCACAGAGGGAGUUGUGAACAUGCACUUCUGUGUCGGUGGGUUUAGGAUCCUCCUCACACUCACACUGAUGAAGACUGUCACUGGAAGAUGUCUCCAUUGCAUCAGCAGGACGUAAGCAUUUGUAAAAUAUUACAGUUUGUGAUGUUUUAUACAUGUUUUUAUUGCUUCACUUCAAACUAGGAGAUAUAAAAUAAACCAGUUUUCAUAAUAUUUUCUGUGUAUUUAGUUGUUUUCUUAAUAAGUUAUUUGGAACAUCAUUGCAACCUGUCAGCUUUUUAUUGAGGAUUUAGAAAGUUGCUGGUGGCCCGAGUGUGUAGAGUGGGGUGUUGUUUUUGUCACAUGGUGAAAGUGACCUCAGGGGGAGCAAAAAGAACAGCUGAAC